UACGGAAGGCAGCAGUGGGGAAGUAUUGCACAAUGGGCGCAAGCCUGAUGCAGCCAUGCCGCGUGUAUGAAGAAGGCCUUAGGGUUGUAAAGUACUUUCAUCGGGGAGGAAAAACAAAACUAAUAAUUUUAUUUCUUGACGUUACCCGAAAAAGAAGCACCGGCUAACUCCGUGCCAGCAGCCGCGGUAAUACGGAGGGUGCUAGCGUUAAUCAGAAUUACUGGGCGUAAAGAGCACGUAGGUGGUUUUUUUAAGUUCAGAUGUGAAAUCCCUGGGCUUAACCUAGGAACUGCAUUUUGAAACUGAAAUACUAGAGUAUCGUAGAGGGAGGUAGAAUUCUAGGUGUAGCGGUGAAAUGCGUAGAUAUCUGGAGGAAUACCUGUGGCGAAAGCGGCCUCCUAAACGAAUACUGACACUGAGGUGCGAAAGCGUGGGGAGCAAACAGGGAUUAGAUA
rnacentral:rRNA from 1 species